CCCUUAGAUGUCCUGGGUUGCACGCGCGCUACACUGGAAGUUACGGAUUGAGAUACUACCUUGUCCGAAAUGGUCCGGGUAAUCACCUAAAAGCUUGUCAUAAUUGGAAUGGAUUAUUGUAACUAGUAAUCCUGAACGAGGAAUUCCUAGUAAGUCCCAGUCAACAGCUGGUACUGAUUACGUCCCUGCCCUUUGUACACACCGCCCGUCGCUACUACUGAUUGGACGUUUAAGCAAGAUUUUUAAACACUGACAGUGUGUAGUUCACGCUAUACUACAGUGAGAAGAAGAAGAUCGAGCUUACUUGUCUAGAGGAAGUAAAAGUCGUAACA
rnacentral:rRNA from 1 species